CCUACGGGUGGCAGCAGUGAGGAAUAUUGGUCAAUGGGCGAGAGCCUGAACCAGCCAAGUCGCGUGAGGGAGUACUGCCCUAUGGGUUGUAAACCUCUUUUGUCGGGGAGCAAAAGCCGGACGUGUCCGGCUGUGAGAGUACCCGAAGAAAAAGCAUCGGCUAACUCCGGGCCAGCAGCCGCGGUAAUACGGAGGAUGCGAGCGUUAUCCGGAUUUAUUGGGUUUAAAGGGUGCGCAGGCGGAUUUUUAAGUCAGCGGUAAAAUCGUGGGGCUCAACCCCAUCCAGCCGUUGAAACUGGGGAUCUAGAGUGUGCGAGAGGUAGGCGGAAUGCGUGGUGUAGCGGUGAAAUGCAUAGAUAUCACGCAGAACCCCGAUUGCGAAGGCAGCAUACCGGUGCACAACUGACGCUCAGGCACGAAAGCGUGGGUAUCGAACAGGAUUAGAUACCCCAGUAGUC
rnacentral:rRNA from 1 species